AGUCAUAUGCUUGUCUUAAAGAUUAAUCCAUGCAUGUGUAAGUAUAAGUAUUGUACAGCGAAACUGCGAAUGGCUCAUUACAUCAGUUAUAAUUUAUUUGAUAAUCGAAAGUUACAUGGAUAACCGUGACAAAUUACAGCUAAUACAUGCAGUCAGACCUGGUCCAAGGGUCGUAAUUAUUAGUAUUAAACCAUUUCCGUAAGGAGUGUGAUGAAUCAUAAUAAUCGAACGAAUCGCCUUCGGUGCGAUAAAUCAUUCAAGUUUCUGCCCUAUCAGCUUUGGAUGGUAGUGUAUUGGACUACCAUGGCAGUCACGGGUAACGGAGAAUUAGGGUUCGAUUCCGGAGAGGGAGCCUGAGAAACGGCUACCACAUCUACGGAAGGCAGCAGGAGCGAAAAUUGCCCAAUCCCGACACGGGGAGGCAGUGACGAGAAAUAACAACUCUUGGUUAUUCUAAGAAGUGUAAUGAGGAUAAUUUAAAACCCUUACCGAAAGCAAUUGGAGGGCAAGUCUGGUGCCAGCAGCCGCGGUAAUUCCAGCUCCAAUAGCGUAUAUUAAAGUUGUUGCAGUUAAAAAGCUCGUAGUUGAAGUUCUGGCUGUUCGAUCCUCGAGCUCUGUAGCCGAGGCGUCGACAGUCAUCCGCUUGCAAAUAUAUGUUCGCCUUUAACCGGGCGGCUAUAUGAGCAAGCAUUUUACCUUGAGAAAAACAGAGUGUUCCAGGCAGGUUUGUCCGGAAUGCAUUAGCAUGGAAUAAUAGAAUAUGACUGAAGUCGAUUUAUUGGUUUGAGGCUUUAGUAAUGAUUAAUAGGAACAGUCGGGGGCAUUGGUACUUGACAGUCAGAGGUGAAACUUCUAGGAUUUGUCAAAGACUAACAAAUGCGAAAGCAUUUGCCAAGGAUGUUUUCAUUAAUCAAGAACGAAAGUUAGGGGAUCAAAGACGAUCAGAUACCGUCCUAGUCUUAACUAUAAACUAUACCGACUCGGAUUCAGAUGAAUCAUAAAGUUCAUUUGGGACCGUAGGAGAAAUCAAAGUUUUUGGGUUCUGGGGGAAGUAUGGUCGCAAGGCUGAAACUUAAAGGAAUUGACGGUUUUGCACCACCAUGGAGUGGAGUCUGCGGCUUAAUUUGACUCAACACUGGGAAACUCAUCAGGGCAAGAAGAUUGUAGGAUUGACAGAUUGAGAGUUCUUUCUUGAUUGGUCUAGUGGUGGUGCAUGGCCGUUCUUAGUUGGUGGAGUGAUUUGUCUGGUUAAUUCCGUUAACGAACGAGACCUUAACCUGCUAACUAGUACUUCGAUGACAAAUCGAUGCUACUUCUUAGAGGGACUAUGUGAUGUAAUCACAUGGAAGUUUGAGGCAAUAACAGGUCUGUGAUGCCCUUAGAUGUCCUGAGCUGCACGCGUACUACAAUGGUGCUUUCAUCGAGCUUUUCCUGAUCCGAAAGGAUUUGGGUAAUCUUUUUAGUGAGCACCGUGCUUGGGAUAGAUCUUUGUAAUUAUGGAUCUUGAACUAGGGAUUCCUAGUAAGCACGGGUCAUCAGCCCGUGCUGAUUACGUCCCUGCAAAAUGUACACACCGCCCGUCGCUAUUACCGAUUGAGUGUAAAGGUGAACCUUCUCGAUAGCGUUUACGUUAGAAAUUAAGUAAACCUUUGCACUUAGAGGAAAUAAAAGUCGUAACAAGGUUUCC
rnacentral:rRNA from 1 species